UAGGGAAUCUUCGGCAAUGGACGAAAGUCUGACCGAGCAACGCCGCGUGAGUGAAGAAGGUUUUCGGAUCGUAAAACUCUGUUGUUAGAGAAGAACAAGGACGUUAGUAACUGAACGUCCCCUGACGGUAUCUAACCAGAAAGCCACGGCUAACUACGUGCCAGCAGCCGCGGUAAUACGUAGGUGGCAAGCGUCGUCCGGAUUUAUUGGGCGUAAAGCGAGCGCAGGCGGUUUCUUAAGUCUGAUGUGAAAGCCCCCGGCUCAACCGGGGAGGGUCAUUGGAAACUGGGAGACUUGAGUGCAGAAGAGGGGAGUGGAAUUCCAUGUGUAGCGGUGAAAUGCGUAGAUAUAUGGAGGAACACCAGUGGCGAAGGCGGCUCUCUGGUCUGUAACUGACGCUGAGGCUCGAAAGCGUGGGGAGCAAACAGG
rnacentral:rRNA from 1 species